rnacentral:tRNA from 1 species
GCCCUGGUGGCACAACAGUUAAGCGUAUGGCUGCUAACCAAAAAGUUGGUGGUUUAAACCCAUCCAGUGGCU